CUGUGGAAAGUGGUUCACACUGGAGAGUAAGAGUGUACAUUCUCAAGAUUCCAAGGAAAACUUGCCAGUCACUUCCCAGAAAGCAACUCAGAGUGGACCUCUAGAGCCUGCUAAGUGUCUAGUAGGGAAAUGACUGCCUUUUCCCCUGGAGAAAUAGCCCACAGACAAAAAAGUAGCACCACACUGUGAGAUCUGUGAGUGCCGGAGUCAGUAGCUUGACGAUGACCCCCAGGGGCAGGGAAGAAAGCAAGUGUGUCACAGGAGAUGGGACAAGCACAUCAGGACCAUAAGCUGGGGAAACCUGUCAUUUCUGUCUUCAACACCACUGACCCGGAAUACACAGUAGGUACCCUUUUUCUCUUGGCAUCCACCGUCGCCACCUCAAAGGGAUCGUUUUCGGUCUAUGGUCUGAAGAAUGCUUUUCAAAUGACACAAGAGUGUCUUUGAGGAGUCGUGCAAAGAGAAAUGCCCAAAUGUGAAUAAGAAUUAUGCCAAAGUUCAAGUUCAGGAAAGAGCCUCUAAGGAAAAGGAAACUCAGCAUGUCAAUGUCUUGCUACUUCAACCAACUGCCUCUGUUGGACUCAAGAGGGAAUCU